rnacentral:rRNA from 1 species
AAGUUAAACGGCCGCGGUACCCUAACCGUGCAAAGGUAGCGCAAUCACUUGUUCUUUAAAUGAGGACUAGUAUGAACGGCACCACGAAGGUUAUACUGUCUCCUUCCUCCAAUCAGUGAAACUGACCUCCCCGUGAAGAGGCGAGGAUAAAACCAUAAGACGAGAAGACCCCAUGGAGCUUAAAACUCAGCAUCAAUUGCCACUCAAACACCAUCUUAACAAGUCAAACCUGACAGCUGGUUUUCGGUUGGGGUGACCGCGGAGCAAAACAAAGCCUCCACAAUGAAAGGGGCCUCCCUUAAUCAACAGAGCUACAACUCAAAGAAUCAAUAAAUUGACAUAAAUUGACCCAAUUAAUUUUGAUCAACGAACCAAGUUACCCUGGGGAUAACAGCGCAAUCCACUUCAAGAGCCCAUAUCGACAAGUGGGUUUACGACCUCGAUGUUGGAUCAGGGUAUCCCAGUGGUGCAGCCGCUACUAAAGGUUCGUUUGUUCAACGAUUAA